UACGUAGGUGGCAAGCGUUGUCCGGAUUUAUUGGGUUUAAAGGGUGCGUAGGCGGCCCUGUAAGUCAGUGCCUGAAAUAUCCCAGCUUAACUGGGAGGGUGGCAUUGAUACUGCGGGGCUAGAGUACAGAUGAGGUAGGCGGAAUUGACGGUGUAGCGGUGAAAUGCUUAGAUAUCGUCAAGAACACCUAUAGCGAAGGCAGCUUACUAGGCUGUAACUGACGCUGAGGCACGAAAGUGUGGGGAUCAAACAGG
rnacentral:rRNA from 1 species